UACGAAGGGAGCUAGCGUUGUUCGGAAUUACUGGGCGUAAAGCGCACGUAGGCGGACUAUUAAGUCAGGGGUGAAAUCCCGGGGCUCAACCCCGGAACUGCCUUUGAUACUGGUAGUCUCGAGUCCGGAAGAGGUGAGUGGAAUUCCGAGUGUAGAGGUGAAAUUCGUAGAUAUUGGGAAGAACACCGGUGGCGAAGGCGGCUCACUGGCUCAUUACUGACGCUCAGGCGCGAUAGCGUGGGGAUCAAACAGG
rnacentral:rRNA from 1 species